rnacentral:rRNA from 1 species
GACGAAGGGGGCUAGCGUUGUUCGGAAUUACUGGGCGUAAAGCGAGUGUAGGUGGUUGUCACAGUCAGGUGUGAAAGCCUUGAGCUCACUCAAGAAAUGCACUUGAUACUAGGCGACUAGAGGACCGGAGAGGAUAGUGGAAUUCCCAGUGUAGUGGUGAAAUACGUAGAGAUUGGAAGAACACCAGUGGCGAAGGCGGCUAUCUGGACGGUUUCUGACACUAAGACUCGAAAGCGUGGGGAGCAAACAGG